rnacentral:rRNA from 1 species
AUUGAACGCUGGCGGCAUGCUUUACACAUGCAAGUCGAACGGUAACAGGCCUUCGGGUGCUGACGAGUGGCGAACGGGUGAGUAAUGCAUCGGAACGUGCCCAGAGGUGGGGGAUAACGCAGCGAAAGCUGUGCUAAUACCGCAUGUGAUCUGAGGAUGAAAGCGGGGGACCAGGCAGCAAUGUUUGGCCUCGCGCCUUUGGAGCGGCCGAUGUCAGAUUAGGUAGUUGGUGGGGUAAAGGCCUACCAAGCCGACGAUCUGUAGCUGGUCUGAGAGGACGACCAGCCACACUGGGACUGAGACACGGCCCAGACUCCUACGGGAGGCAGCAGUGGGGAAUUUUGGACAAUGGGCGCAAGCCUGAUCCAGCAAUGCCGCGUGCGGGAAGAAGGCCUUCGGGUUGUAAACCGCUUUUGUACGGAAAGAAAAGGCUCUGGCUAAUACCUGGGGCUGAUGACGGUACCGAAAGAAUAAGCACCGGCUAACUACGUG